rnacentral:rRNA from 1 species
GAAUUACUGGGCUUAAAGAGUUCGUAGGUGGUUGAAAAAGUUGGUGGUGAAAUCCCAGACCUUAACUCUGGAACUGCCAUCAAAACUUUUCAGCUAGAGUGUGAUAGA